GCAGUUGUGGCCGAGUGGUUAAGGCGUUAGACUUGAAAUCUAAUGGGGUCUCCUCGCGCAGGUUCGAMCCCUGCCGACUGCG
rnacentral:tRNA from 1 species